rnacentral:rRNA from 1 species
AUGAACGCUAGCGGCAGGCUUAACACAUGCAAGUCGAGGGGUAGAAGCAGCUUGCUGCUUUGAGACCGGCGCACGGGUGCGUAACGCGUAUGCAAUCUACCUUUUACAGAGGGAUAGCCCAGAGAAAUUUGGAUUAAUACCUCAUAGUAUGUGAGAAUCGCAUGGUUUUCACAUUAAAGUUCCAACGGUAAAAGAUGAGCAUGCGUCCCAUUAGCUAGAUGGUAAGGUAACGGCUUACCAUGGCGACGAUGGGUAGGGGUCCUGAGAGGGAGAUCCCCCACACUGGUACUGAGACACGGACCAGACUCCUACGGGAGGCAGCAGUGAGGAAUAUUGGACAAUGGGCGCAAGCCUGAUCCAGCCAUGCCGCGUGCAGGAUGACGGUCCUAUGGAUUGUAAACUGCUUUUGUACAGGAAGAAACACUCCCUCGUGAGGGAGCUUGACGGUACUGUAAGAAUAAGGAUCGGCUAACUCCGUG